UACGUAGGGUGCUAGCGUUGUUCGGAAUUAUUGGGCGUAAAGCGCGUGUAGGCGGAUUAGUAAGUCAGAUGUGAAAGCCCUGGGCUCAACCUGGGAAGUGCAUCUGAAACUGCUGAUCUUGAGUAUGGGAGAGGGUGACGGAAUUCCUGGUGUAGUGGUGAAAUACGUAGAUAUCAGGAGGAACAUCGGUGGCGAAGGCGGUUGCCUGGCCCAAUACUGACGCUGAGACGCGAAAGCGCGGGGAUCAAACAGG
rnacentral:rRNA from 1 species